rnacentral:rRNA from 1 species
UUGUAGCAAUAUGAUGUGUAGUGGCGAACGGGUGAGUAAUGCAUGGGUAACGUGCCUUGAACUCAGGGAUAGCGUCGAGCCCCGCAAGGGGUUCUUUGCGAAAGUGACGGUAAUACCUGAUGACGCCCAUGGAGGGCAUCCUCCGUGGCUCAAAGACGGGGACCGCAAGGCCUGUCGGUUUGAGAUCGGCCCAUGUCCUAUCAGCUAGUUGGUGAGGUAACGGCUUACCAAGGCAUCGACGGGUAGCCGGACUGAGAGGUUGGCCGGCCACAUCGGGACUGAGACACUGCCCGGACACCUAUGGGUGGCUGCAGUAACGAAUCUUCCGCAAUGGGCGAAAGCCUGACGGAGCGACGCCGCGUGGAGGAAUAAGGCCUUCGGGUUGUAAACUCCUUUAGGGGUGAAGAAAUCGAGGCGACCUAAUACGUCGUUGAGGUGAUUGAUCCCCAAAUAAGCCACGGCUAACUCUGUGCCAGCAGCCGCGGUAAUACAGAGGUGGCGAGCGUUGUUCGGAAUUACUGGGCUUAAAGCGCGUGUAGGCGGCUUCGCAAGUACUUGGUGAAAGCCCUCGGCCUAACCGAGGAAGUGCCAGGUAUACUGCGAGACUUGAGGCGACAAGGGGUGCCUGGAACUCUAGGUGGAGCGGUGAAAUGCGUAGAUAUCUAGAGGAACGCCCGUGGCGAAAGCGGGGCACUGGUGUCGAUCUGACGCUGAGACGCGAAAGCGUGGGGAGCAAACGGGAUUAGAUACCCCGGUAGUCCACGCUGUAAACGAUGCGUACUAGGUAUGAGGGACACUGACGUUCUUCGUGCCGAAAUAAAAACGUUAAGUACGCCGCCUGGGGAGUACGGCCGCAAGGCUAAAACUCAAAGGAAUUGACGGGGGCUCACACAAGCGGUGGAGCAUGUGGCUCAAUUCGAAGCAACGCGAAGAACCUUACCUGGGUUUGACAUGCUGGGAUUAG